rnacentral:rRNA from 1 species
UACGGAGGUGGCAAGCGUUGCUCGGAAUCACUGGGCGUAAAGGGCGCGUAGGCGGGGAGGUAAGUCGGGUGUGAAAUCUCGGGGCUUAACUCCGAAACUGCAUUCGAUACUGUCGGGCUCGAGUCCGGAAGAGGAGUGUGGAAUUCCUGGUGUAGCGGUGAAAUGCGCAGAUAUCAGGAGGAACACCAAUGGCGAAGGCAGCACUCUGGGACGUGACUGACGCUGAGACGCGAAAGCGUGGGGAGCAAACAGG